GGGCUUAACGGUUGGUUUUAAGUCUCACAUUCGUCGUCNUAUUACACGCCUCACAUGCGUCGACGGUAGCCGACGGAGCUGCUCCUGGGUGACGAGUGGCGGACGGGUGAGUAAUGUCUGGGGAUCUGCCGAUGGAGGGGGAUACUAUCUGGAAAUCGAGUAAGUCUAAUAUCCGCAUAAUCGUCGUCAACGAUCUCAACAGUGGGAGGAUCCUUCGGGUCCUCAUCAUCCAUCGGAUGAAUCCCAGAUAGGGANUUAGUCUAGUAGAGUGGGAGUAAUCGGUCUCAUCCUAAGCGACGAUUCCCUAAGUCUAGGUCUGAAGAGGGAUGAUCCAGCUCAUCACUAGAGAAUCAGAAGAACAACGAGUUCCAGANCUCCA
rnacentral:rRNA from 1 species